rnacentral:lncRNA from 1 species
UCCCCGAGCUCCCCCGUAACUAGGCACUGUUCCCAGCUUGCCUGGGACCUGCCGCUCAGAACAAAAAUAUCUGUUCUGAUCCACGCCGGAAAGAAUGUCUAAAACUCAAUAAAUCGAAUGCACUGUCAGCUCCUCUCCUGGCAAGGGCAGAAUUUGCACAGCUCAGGCUGAGGGACACAUGGCUCAGCCUGGAGGUCUGGCCACCAAGACUGGGCGGUUACUGACUGGGGCUGGAAGCUUAGAAAUCCGGAGAUGUUUCCCAGUUGAAUACAGAGGAAAUGAGGCACCUAGGGAUUAUUGCUGUGUUCACAGGUGGAGACCGAACCAGGCUGUUCACACAUACAAACACAUUCCCCAUUUGUCUGGAAGAGAACCCGACUCUGCUGGGGAAACAUGCCAACCAGGUGUCCAUUCCACCCAAGCAGAGAGAAACUUGCAUUUUGCACGAAAGAAAGAGAAGUGAUGACGGCAGAAACAGGG